AGUAACGCGUGAGGAACCUGCCUCAAAGAGGGGGACAACAGUUGGAAACGACUGCUAAUACCGCAUAAGCCCACGGCUCGGCAUCGAGCAGAGGGAAAAGGAGCAAUCCGCUUUGAGAUGGCCUCGUGUCCGAUUAGCUAGUUGGUGAGGUAAUGGCCCACCAAGGCGACGAUCGGUAGCCGGACUGAGAGGUUGAACGGCCACAUUGGGACUGAGACACGGCCCAG
rnacentral:rRNA from 1 species